CCAAGGCGCCCAGGGUUCGAUUCUUAGUCUCGUUGUCGUAUGUGAGUAGAGUUGCUUGCUGGUUCUCUCCUGUACUUCUUGGUUUUUCACCGGUUUUCUCUCCCGCAAAAACCACAAUUCGGCACUCCAAUGGGCAGUUAACGGUCACGUGUCUGUACUGAUCCUGCUAUCYACUAGGAAGAAGAAGUAAAGUGAGUCUGUAGUUGAAGUUUUCACUCUCAAAAGCGUGACACAACUCUUAUGGAGGAUGGAAACCUUCCUUCGAAGAAGAAUGCACCACCUUCAAAAGAACCGCCAUCUUUCUUUGAAAAAUAAAAAACAUCAAUUUCUUCCCGUUUUGAGGACAUUACCUCUUUCUACUAAAUCGUCCAGACACCUCAAAGGUUUGGUUUAAGAAUUCCAGUUUGAAACUCAAGUAGAUGGAAUUUAACUCAGCGUGUGUUUGAAAGAACUGACCAACUUGUAUGAUUAAAACCCGCUGGGAUUCAGGCCUUCGUCCAGCCCCACACCGAGCGCGCGAAUAAAGACRACACUAAGUGCCAUUCUCACUUUA